AUUGAACGCUGGCGGCAGGCCUAACACAUGCAAGUCGAGCGAGCGGCGGACGGGUGAGUAAUGUCUGGGAAACUGCCUGAUGGAGGGGGAUAACUACUGGAAACGGUAGCUAAUACCGCAUACCAUCAGAUGUGCCCAGAUGGGAUUAGCUAUUAGGGGGGGUAACGGCUCACCUAGGCGACGAUCCCUAGCAGGUCUGAGAGGAUGACCAGCCACACUGGAACUGAGACACGGUCCAGACUCCUCCGGGAGGCAGCAGUGGGGAAUUUUGCACAAUGGGCGCAAGCCUGAUGCAGACAUGCCGCGUGUUGGAAGAAGGCCUUCGGGUUGUAAAGCACUUUCAUCGGGGAGGCGUUACCCGCAGAAGAAGCACCGGCUAACUCCGUGCCAGCAGCCGCGGUAAUUC
rnacentral:rRNA from 1 species